rnacentral:rRNA from 1 species
UACGGAGGGUGCAAGCGUUAUCCGGAUUUACUGGGUUUAAAGGGUGCGUAGGUGGGUAGGAAAGUCAGUGGUGAAAUCUUCGGGCUUAACCCGGAAACUGCCAUUGAUACUAUUUAUCUUGAAUACUUUGGGGGGUAAGCGGAAUAUGUCAUGUAGCGGUGAAAUGCUUAGAUAUGACAUAGAACACCAAUUGCGAAGGCAGCUUACUACACAGUUAUUGACACUGAGGCACGAAAGCGUGGGGAUCAAACAGG